AGCAGUCGCCGCGGUAAUACAGAGGGUGCGAGCGUUAAUCGGAUUUACUGGGCGUAAAGCGUGCGUAGGCGGCUUCUUAAGUCGGAUGUGAAAUCCCUGAGCUUAACUUAGGAAUUACAUUCGAUACUGGGAAGCUAGAGUAUGGGAGAGGAUGGUAGAAUUCCAGGUGUAGCGGUGAAAUGCGUAGAGAUCUGGAGGAAUACCGAUGGCGAAGGCAGCCAUCUGGCCUAAUACUGACGCUGAGGUACGAAAGCAUGGGGAUCAAACAGGAUUAGAUACCCCGGUAGUCCCUGUCUCUUAUAC
rnacentral:rRNA from 1 species